GUCAGGAUGGCCGAUCGGUCUAAGGCGCCAGAUUUUAACUCUGGUUUGAAAGAGAGCGUGGGUUAGAACCCCACUCUGACA